GACGAACGCUGGCGGCGUGCUUAACACAUGCAAGUCUAACGGAAAGGCCCUGCUUGCAGGGUACUCGAGUGGCGAACGGGUGAGUAACACGUGGGUGAUCUGCCCUGCACUUCGGGAUAAGCCUGGGAAACUGGGUCUAAUACCGGAUAGGAGCCAUUUUUAGUGUGAUGGUUGGAAAGUUUUUUCGGUGUAGGAUGAGCUCGCGGCCUAUCAGCUUGUUGGUGGGGUAAUGGCCUACCAAGGCGGCGACGGGUAGCCGGCCUGAGAGGGUGGACGGCCACAUUGGGACUGAGAUACGGCCCAGACUCCUACGGGAGGCAGCAGUGGGGAAUAUUGCACAAUGGGCGCAAGCCUGAUGCAGCGACGCCGCGUGGGGGAUGACGGCCUUCGGGUUGUAAACUCCUUUCGCUAGGGACGAAGCUUUUUGUGACGGUACCUAGAGAAGAAGCACCGGCUAACUACGUG
rnacentral:rRNA from 1 species